CGUAGGGGGCAAGCGUUGUCCGGAUUUAUUGGGCGUAAAGAGCGUGUAGGCGGCCAGACAGGUCCGUUGUGAAAACUGGAGGCUUAACCUUCAGACGUCGAUGGAAACCGUCGGGCUAGAGUCCGGAAGAGGAGAGUGGAAUUCCUGGUGUAGCGGUGAAAUGCGCAGAUAUCAGGAAGAACACCCGUGGCUAAGGCGGCCCUCUAGUACGGUACUGACGCUGAGACGCGAAAGCGUGGGGAGCGAACAGGAUUAGAUACCCUGGUAGUCCACGCCGUAAACGAUGGGUGCUAGGUGUGGGGGGUGUCGACUCCCUCCGUGCCGAAGCUAACGCAUUAAGCACCCCGCCUGGGGAGUACGGCCGCAAGGCUA
rnacentral:rRNA from 1 species